AUCACAAGCGAUAUCAAAGUAUUAACUGUGAUAAGGUAAGGGAAAAAAAUGAUAUUACCUUACUAUUAGUGUUGUCCAAAUCUGGUGCCAGAAGACUCGGUAAGACCAGAAACGCAAACGUUAAUCGUCCUUAUCAGGCGUAAAGGGUUUGUAGGCUGCUUUUAAAUUUUCUAUUUAAAUUAGCUCUGAUUUAAUUCAGUUAAAUAGAAAUAUAAUAAAAGCUAGAAUCAAAUAGAGGAUAAGCCAAAUAAUACUUAGAGUAGGGAUGAUAUCCAUAGAUACUAAGGGGAAUACUAAAGGUGAAAACUUUUAUCUACUAAUGAUUGACGCUGAGAAACGAAGGUGAGAAUAGGAAAUAGGAUUAGAUACCCAGAUACCUCUCACUGUCAACGAUGAAUGGUAGUUUGUUAGUUUUAAUAAAAAUUGAUAACGAUGCUAACGCGAUAACCAUUCCGCCUUGCGAGUACGGUUGCAAAACUGAAACCAAAAAAAUUAGUCGGUCUCGAAGCAAACGAAGUGGAGCAUGUUAUUUAAU
rnacentral:rRNA from 1 species